GAGAGUUUGAUCCUGGCUCAGAGCGAACGUUAGCGGCAGGCUUAACACAUGCAAGUCGAGCGACAAAGGGGCUUCGGCCCUGAGUAGAGCGGCGGACGGGUGCGUAACACGUGGAUAAUCUGCCUCGUGGCGGGGGAUAACAGUCCGAAAGGACUGCUAAUACCGCAUGUCAGGUCGGAAACCCCGGUUUCUGACGAAAAAGAGGGCGCCCGCAAGGGGCUCUCACCACGAGAUGAGUCCGCGGCCCAUCAGCUAGUUGGCGGUGUAAUAGACCACCAAGGCUAAGACGGGUAGCUGGUCUGAGAGGAUGACCAGCCACACUGGGACUGAGACACGGCCCAGACUCCUACGGGAGGCAGCAGUGGGGGAAUAUUGGACAAUGGGCGAAGACCUGAUCCAGCCAUGCCGCGUGAGUGAUGAAGGUCUUCGGAUCGUAAAGACUCUGUGGGAAGGGACGAAAAAGACCUAACCUAAUACGUUAGGU
rnacentral:rRNA from 1 species